GUGGGGAAUAUUGCACAAUGGGCGAAAGCCUGAUGCAGCGACGCCGCGUGAGCGAUGAAGUAUUUCGGUACGUAAAGCUCUAUCAGCAGGGAAGAUAAUGACGGUACCUGACAAAGAAGCACCGGCUAAAUACGUGCCAGCAGCCGCGGUAAUACGUAUGGUGCAAGCGUUAUCCGGAUUUACUGGGUGUAAAGGGAGCGUAGGCGGCGUGGUAAGUCAGAAGUGAAAGCCCGGGGCUCAACCCCGGGACUGCUUUUGAAACUAUCAUGCUAGAGUGUCGGAGAGGUAAGUGGAAUUCCUAGUGUAGCGGUGAAAUGCGUAGAUAUUAGGAGGAACACCAGUGGCGAAGGCGGCUUACUGGACGAUAACUGACGCUGAGGCGCGAAAGCUAGGGGAGCGAACGGGAUUAGAAACCCUGGUAGUCC
rnacentral:rRNA from 1 species